UGAUAAGCUGUAGAGCGGGAGAGUGUGGAGAAAGCCAUCAAGAGAUUGGUCUGAAAAGUCUUCUCCGAGGAGGUGACAGUUAGCUGAAUCUAAAUAGUGAGAUAAAUAUUGGAGGCAGAACGGAACAAAAAAGGGGGGCAGGGGUCAAUGUCUAGAGGCAGGAGAGGGCUUUGUGCUGACAAAACAGAAAGGAGGUUUUGAGGACAGUGUACAAGAAAGAAAAUGGAAUGUGGUGAGGUCAAAAAGGCCAGCAAGAGGAAAACCGUGAAGGGGGCACAGGACCAAAGGAGAAGCAUCAAAUUCCAAUGGAAAUCAGAAAAUUGAGAACCAGGUCAGAGUUCAGAGGCCACAUGAGAGGCCUCGCUGCUAAGGAUUUUUCCAAGAGGAAAUGUUGCUGAUGAUUUUAUAGAACAGCUAUUAUGUGCCAGCCUCUGUAAUAGACACUGUACACAGGUACUCGUCAAUUAGCUUCCAAUAUCUACAAUGACCUUGGACUCAGUUAAAGGUACAAGUGAUCAGCUGAAGUUAGUGAUGUAAGCAAGACUCUGGUCAUGAAUUCUCCAUGCCAGUCAUUAACCCUCAGGAAAUGGACUUAACUAACUUACUCUGCCAAGCUUCCACCUGCUCAGAGGACUCUACAAUCACUGUACACUGUGAAGAAAAGAAUAUGCUUAAUCAGUAGUCAUGGUGUGCACACUGACAACCUGAAUGUAAACCUGUGGUUAUUAGCAGAGACCCCAGAUGUGCCCUUAUAGUAAUGCUGUUUAUAAAGUGGCUUCACGAUUUCCUGUUGAUUCUGGCCCUAAUGAACUAUUUACUUCUCAUAUUAAGUAAGAAAUCAGCAUGGAGCUUUGGAAAGAGUUCUGUUCUAAGACGGAGGAGAUCUGGCCUCUAUCCAUCCUCUACAAACAUCUAUGAGGUGCCAUGUACCCACUUAAUACAUAUUUGUCUAAUUGGAUUGAACUUGACUGGCUGUGACUCUUAAUGGCUCUAUUAAUAAUAACAUAAUAUUUGCUAUUUAAUUAUAUAUUUACUGGUUUAUUUGCUUAUUGCAUGUUUCCUCCCUUAGGGUAGAUACUCCAUGAGUUUGGUGCUCUUGACAGUUUUAUUUACUACAGCAUCC